UACGGGGGGGCAAGCGUUGUUCGGAAUUACUGGGCGUAAAGGGCUCGUAGGCGGCCAACUAAGUCGGACGUGAAAUCCCUCGGCUUAACCGGGGAACUGCGUCCGAUACUGGAUGGCUUGAGUUUGGGAGAGGGAUGCGGAAUUCCAGGUGUAGCGGUGAAAUGCGUAGAUAUCUGGAGGAACACCGAUGGCGAAGGCAGCUCGCUGGGACGGUACUGACGCUGAGGCGCGAAAGCGUGGGAGCAAC
rnacentral:rRNA from 1 species